rnacentral:rRNA from 1 species
UACGUAGGGUCCGAGCGUUGUCCGGAAUUACUGGGCGUAAAGAGCUCGUAGGUGGUUUGUCACGUCGUUCGUGAAAACCCACAGCUCAACUGUGGGCGUGCGAGCGAUACGGGCAGACUAGAGUACUGCAGGGGAGACUGGAAUUCCUGGUGUAGCGGUGGAAUGCGCAGAUAUCAGGAGGAACACCGGUGGCGAAGGCGGGUCUCUGGGCAGUAACUGACGCUGAGGAGCGAAAGCGUGGGGAGCGAACAGG